rnacentral:ribozyme from 14 species
UAAAAAAAAAAAAAAAACUCCUUACAACAGCGCGGAUAUAUUUUACUGUAGCAUAAUAUAUUAUCAUCAUUCCCUUCUCUCUUCUAUAUUGAUUAAUUAUACAGUACUCAUCAGAAAAUUUCCUCCCUGAGAUGAACAACAACACUUCUUGUUCCCUCUGCUUUUUUGCUGUUGAAAACAAACCUGAUGAUGAAUUUCAUUUUUUUUUGGUCUCCUUCCAUAUUGAAUGAAAAAGCAGAAGAAAAAAG